rnacentral:rRNA from 1 species
GACGAACGCUGGCGGCGUGCCUAAUACAUGCAAGUUGAGCGAUGAAGAUUGGUGCUUGCACCAAUUUGAAGAGCAGCGAACGGGUGAGUAACGCGUGGGGAAUCUGCCUUUGAGCGGGGGACAACAUUUGGAAACGAAUGCUAAUACCGCAUAACAACUUUAAACAUAAGUUUUAAGUUUGAAAGAUGCAAUUGCAUCACUCAAAGAUGAUCCCGCGUUGUAUUAGCUAGUUGGUGAGGUAAAGGCUCACCAAGGCGAUGAUACAUAGCCGACCUGAGAGGGUGGUCAGCCACAUUGGGACUGUGACACGGCCCAAACGCCUACGGGAGGCAGCAGUAGGGAAUCGUCGGCAAUGGACGAAAGUCUGACCGAGCAACGCCGCGUGAGGGAAGAGGGUUGUCGGAUCGUAAAACUCGGUUGGUAGAGAAGAACGUUGGUGAGAGUGGAAAGCUCAGCAAGUGACGGUAACUACCCAGAAAGGGACGGCUAACUACGUG